AAACCUCUCAUGUUCUCACCUUCUUCAUUCUCUCUCUCACAAGCACUCAAAGGAUUUCUCACUUUCUCACACUUUCCUUCUAACCAAAUAAAGGAAAACUACCUUUAAGAAGAGAUUGUGGCUCGGCAAGGAAGGAGCACGAAGUUGUUACAGAAGUAGAAGGUGACGCCGAUGACCAAGAGAAAGAGAAUGGCACCCCCUCCUUCGAUGAGGAUCGUGCCUAAGAUGGGCAUCAAUAGGCCAGAGCCCACUAUUUUGGAGCACCUAGAAGCUAUAGAUCAGGAGAUCUCUAAGAUCCUCCAAUUCAUUGAGGAGUUCUGAUGCCUCAAUAAUAAGGAUAAAGACCGAGCUUUGGAGAAGAGGGUGAACGACGAACAAUUAUAAAAAAAAUAAAAAAUAAAACAAAGAGAGAAAGAGAUGCUAAGUGUUGGGACCCGUUUCCCAUAAGGGGGAAUGCUUUUGGAACUUAUUAUAUAACAAAAAAUAUUUUGGUCCCAUGUUUUGGGAAAUGCAAACUCUUACUAUAUUUUGAAAACUCUUUUUGUUAUGGAUGUCAAUGAAGAGACGAGGUUGGGGUAAAA